CGGGAGGGGAGUGAAAUAGAUCCUGAAACUUAGUGCCUACAAGGUGUCGGAGCAGCUUCGGCUGUGACGGCGUGCUUUUUGUAGAACGAUCCAGCGAGUUAAUGUUGUCGGCGAGGCUAAGUCAAAUGAUGGAGCCACAGUGAAAGCGAGCCUUAACAGGGCGACAAGUCGGCAGUAUUAGACCCGAAACCGGGUGACCUAACCAUGAGCAGGUUGAAGCUGCGGUAACACGCAGUGAAGGACCGAACCAGUUUGCGCAGUAAAGCAUUUGGAUGACUUGUGGUUAGCGGUGAAAUGCCAAUCGAACUCGGAGAUAGCUGGUUCUCCUCGAAAUAGCUUUAGGGCUAGCGUCGUGUUAUAGCACAUGGGGGUAGAGCUCUGUAAAGGACUGGGGCGGGCAACUGUACCCACCCUUAACAAACUACGAAUACCGUUGGUGGUACCAUGGCAGUUAGAACAUCGGGGCUAAGCUCGGUGCUCAAAAGGGAAACAGCCCAGACCAUCAUCUAAGGUCCCUAAAUUAACGUUCAGUGGGAAACAAGGUGAAAU
rnacentral:rRNA from 1 species